CGGUCGAGUCCGCCGUCCCUGUCGCGCAUUAACCGCGCACGGCGCGAGUGAAGAGCGCCGCGAUGUAUGUAUCCCAGCACCCGGCUGAUGGGUCGACCGGCGUGCGGCUCGCCCUCUCGUGAGCCCGGCGCGGGCAGGGUGGUUCGCGGCUGCCGAUCCAUCACCGGGGUUUCGCGCGCACGGUAUCCGUCGCGAACGAGGGACGGAGAAGUGUGCUGCGCAUGUCGACGUGGAGACGCGCGGCGCGGUGCAUCCGUCCGCGCGUGCCGCACGCCAAUGGUCCACGAGCUAUCGCUACGGCUUCUGCUCCGGCGCAGCUCGGCAGGAUGCCGGUCACCGUGCAAGUUCGGGCUGGACGUCAUCGCCAGUGUUGUUAAUGUCGCGGAGCAAAUGAGCCAUCAAGUACAUCAAAGUUAGGAGGGCUUGAACCUCUCCGCCUACACGGUGGAUCCACUCCUGGAAACGUGGCCAGCCGAGUUGGCAGACGUAUGAGCUGUGACAGGAUGGAUAGGACCGGGAGUGAAAAAUAAAUUUUAU